CCUCCGGUCGUCUAGCCAGGUCAGGACGCCCGCCUUGCACGCGGGAAACACGGGUCCAAAUCCCGUACGGAGGA
rnacentral:tRNA from 1 species